GGGCUGGAGAAGGUCCCAAGGGUUGGGCUGUUCGCCCAUUAAAGCGGUACGCGAGCUGGGUUCAGAACGUCGUGAGACAGUUCGGUCCCUAUCUGCUGCGGGCGUUGGAGAAUUGAGUGGAGCUGUCUUUAGUACGAGAGGACCGAGACGGACUGACCUCUAGUGUACCAGUUGUGUCGCCAGAUGCAUUGCUGGGUAGCUACGUCGGGAAGGGAUAAGCGCUGAAAGCAUCUAAGCACGAAGCCCACCACGAGAUGAAUUCUCCCUUGUAGGUCGUUCGAGAUGAGGACGUUGAUAGGCACUAGGUGUACGCACAGCAAUGUGUUCAGCCGAGGUGUACUAAUUACCUACUAGAGCUUG
rnacentral:rRNA from 1 species